AGUAAAUCUAAUGACAGAAAUGUGUAGAGGGUUUUAAAGAUAUAACUAAUGUAAGAGUGUUUAAAUGACAGUUUUUGUUUGUUUCACAUGCAACAACAAUUAAUCAUUAUCUAUAUGCUGUCAACUUUGAGCAGUUUUCCAGUUAUAAGUAAUCUGAUCUAGGCUAUAUAAUGUUAGUUAUUGUUAUUUGUUAUUUGGUGUUCGUUAUUUAUUAAUUUGAUAUAUCGGCUCGACUAUUUAUAUGAGUCGAAGUAAACUGUUAGAAACAUGUGAAAUGGGAUUCUAAGCACUUUUUUUUUACUAUACAAAUUAUAGCUAUAGUUAGUACUACUCUCAAUAUUCACAUAUGUUAGUAAACGUUAUAAAUAAUAUAUUAGCUGCAAGCUAUCACCCUUCGGUUGGACCUACAUGUGAGCAUCUUUUCGGCAGAUAUCUUUUCGUUCUCCUGCACGUUUUGAGCAAUUUCGAUCAUGCCCUCGGAAAAUGCCUUGACAAUGCACUCAACAUUAUAGGCGAGUAUUUGUAGCAGCAGCAUUGGAUUGUUGGCCAUCAGUCUGUCAAGUGAAUGUCGGAAUGUUUAUUUCGUAUCACUUGGAUCGCACAAACAAUUAUAUCAACUUACAUGGCGCUGAAUAGCACUAAUAUCAUAUUAUCAGAGAUCGCAGUAUCAUCAAUAAAAUCCAGAUAUUCGGCAUUUUUAUCGUAGAGAAAUCCGCUUGUAAUCCAAUAUAUUUGCUUAUUGGACUCCAAUAGCUUCUCAAAUUUGUUGUAGGCAGCAUCGUUUCUAUAAAUAUAAAUUAAAAUAGAUAAUAUCAUAUGAAUUAGAUAUUGAUUGGCUUGACACUAACUUUAACAUGGGACUGUAUGCCUUGAUUAGCACAUCGAGCAGCAUGACGACCAUGUGGGCAGCCUUGAAUUGAUCCAUCAUAAUGGCCAUGAUGGUUUCGCGAUAUUCGAGACAUUCCUUGCAGGAACAAAAUGUGAAGAAUUCCUCCUUUCGAUGCUUCACAAAUAUCAAGGCAAGAUUCUGAAAAUAAAGCUGCAAUGGAUUAGGCUUCAGCAUGACAGAUUCAUGACAAUAGGAGCACACCGUAAUUGCACGCAGCUGUCCGUCGGCGUCCCUCAGUGGAUUCUUUGGAUCCUCCGAGAAUAAACGCAUAUUCUCAAUGGCCAUCUGCGAAAUGGAACAAAUAUAAUAAUGGUUCAGUUCAAGUCUUUAGCUCUACUUACCAAAUAAGAGCGCGUCUCAUCGUUUGGAUCCUGGCUUUUCGACUUACACUCGUGCAGCAGUUUAUCGCUUAGCUCCAUUUCGAUGACAUUGUUCUCGCGUAGGCUCCAUUGCAUGAGUGAAACCACCUCCUUGUAGACGACAUCCGAUUUUGGCGCUGGCGCGUAAGGAUCAAACGGCGGCAGCGCCAAUAUCGUGUGCAGCGUAUUUAUGAUGUUGCCUUCGGGAAAAUUGAGCCGUUCCAACAGCUGACAAGGCGGUGGUGGAUUGGGCUUGGUGCUGCCAUUGCUUUUGCCCGCUUGAUGUUUGGAUUGGAGGGGCAAUGGUUUGUUGGCGCUGAGCGCCUCCCGCAUUGCGACCAAUGCAUCACAUUUCAUUGGUAUGGAGUCGCCACAGAUGCGCGGCGUGGCCGCAUCAAUGGACAUUUUCAUGCUCACAUGAUAGCAAGAGGCGGCAUCCAGUUCACCAUUGACAACGGCCUCGGCUGCAGCCACAACACUCGCAUCGACGUUGCUGGCACGGGUUUUGGCUUUGGCUCCCUUGGAUUUGUUGCUGCCGCUGCUCCCGCUGCAACUGGGACGCGCAUCGUCCUCGCUGCUGCAACAGUUCAUGCAAGUUUUUGUUGCUGUUGCGGCUGAUAAUGCUCUUUCGGAGUCAGGCACCUGUAACAUUCCGGUAACGGGAAUUGUCUUCAUGUACGUCAAUGCCUUCUCCACUUGUUCAGCCAUCUUUAUUUAUUUGAUUAAACGAAAUUUUUCGAUAUCUUUUUGUA